ensembl:lncRNA
CGGCGGGGGGCGGGGGGUGGCGGGAGGUGGAGCCCCCUUCUCACCCGACGCCCCUGCCCGCCUCGCCUCCCGCGUGCUCCCUGGGCAAACCGCCGCGCCUGAGCUCAGGCCCCGCUGGUGCCUGCAUGGCCACCCCUGCCCCCGCUGCCAUCCAGACGCCCGCUGGCACGAAUGCCUGCAGGCCCUGAGACGACCUCUGCCCCCGACGCGGGGACGUGGGGCCCAGACUGGCGGCGCUCGUGGGCCCUGUGAAAUAUAUUGUUUAUGUCCAUUAUGUUGUUUAUGAAAUUUAUGAAAACAUCAGAUACCAUCUCCCAUUUGCUCCAUCUGACACCUGGAAAAGCUGGUGCCCGAACAGGUGAAGCAGUUUCUCACAGACAGCAGGGAAAUUCUCCCCUCCUGGGUUUCAUCUCAGGAUAGCACCAGAAGAUCUCUAAGUCCAGCUGCCCAGCGAUCCUUGGCCUGGAAGACACUUGUGUUCUUACAAAGAGAUGGACCAAAAAAAUUGCUACGCUUUAUGUCAAACAGCGUUCAGUUCUUUGUUUCUAGCACUUCACACACCACCUGACGCAAACAAAGCCAGGAAAUACUGGUUAAAUCCCCAUGUAAAGCAGCCCCCAGCUUUGGGGGUCUGAAUUCCAUUGACAGGUCUCUGGUCCGGGCUGACGGUCUUCCAAACCCUCUUCUACCUGGUGUACGUCUGGAGGAUCGACUGGAACCGUGCGGCAGAGCAGAUCUGUCCAACCUGGAGAAAGAAGCACUGGCUGGGGCCAUCCUGCUGGACCUCACCUGACCCAAGAGCCAGACUGCGCAGCUAAUCAGGGCAGCCCCUGCCAUGACGUCCUGAUGGGGACUCAGCUGACUGUGUUAGGGCCGAGCGGCUGCAGUUUUGGCUGUUGCUGUCCUCGCAGUGGGAAUUUUAAUAAGACUCUUCACUGACCAUGGCUGAAAUGGAAUCAUCCCAGCCCCAAACUACCAGUGAGAACAAUAUGCCACACGUGCCGCAUGGGAGGUGAGCUCUUCACCUGGACCGUGGCUUCGGUCCCAGCCGAGCAGGAAAGGGAUGCCAGCUUCAUGUUCUUAUUCUGAAGAUUCACAUGAUCAUCCUGGACAUCAAGAAAAGCAUUACAAUUUUAAGUGAACUUUUCUCCCAAAUGUUAACUCUUAUCGUGGUUUUUAAGUCUGCACGUUGGUGUCCCUGGCUGGCUGUGUUCUUUAUCCCACCUUACAUUUAACACCUUCUGUCUUCCAGGAGAGCAGGUCCUCUAGCAGUAACUGCUGGCCACGGUGUGUGUGUGGCACUCUUGUGUGUCCAGUCUCAUGUGUGAGUGUGCAUGAAGUCCUGUCUCGGGCAGUGCCAUGCAAGCUUUUAAAAAAUAAACAUUUAAAAAUACAUGCUCAG